rnacentral:tRNA from 1 species
GGGGCUAUGAUCUAACGGCAUGAUGCCUGCCUUGCAAGCAGGACGUAGAGGUUCGACUCCUCUUAGCUCCACCA